UUACAUGCUCCGGGUCUGCGCGCGCGGCCCCUGGGCGGGCUCUCCAUUGGUCGCGUGGUAUCACGUGAUCACGAUCUGCGCACGCGGUCCUAGGCGGGCUUCCCUUUGAUCGGGUGUCCUGUGCUGGUGACUGGCAGGAGAAGUUUGGAAGCUCUUGUUUGACCGUCCAGGAAGCCACGGUUUUUCUGGUGCCCCACGAGUUGGCAUUAGACCCGGUCCUUGUGAUACCGGAAUUUCGCUCUUCAGUAGGUUCCUGGUCUUGGUGAUUGGAAGAAUGAAUCCGCGGACCACAGAUCAGUGUGUCCCCAUACUCCUGGUGACACCAUCUAAGAGCCCAUGUGUAGCUUGAGGCAGGAGGAGCCCUCCAGCCUCACCCCUGCCCCUCUGCUUCAGUGGAUAUUCAGCUUUUCUGGAAGGUCCCCAGGCGUCCCUCUGCAGAACUACCCAGUGGCCAGGUGCUCCUGAGUGUGGCCACUCUGGUCUUCACCCUCAGCCACUCUGACUUCCACAUAACCUUCACCAGCCUGUCCUCCCUUGUUAAUUAAGGCAGAGACCCCCAGAACCAGCUCUUGAAUGUCCUGAGGGACUUGCUGCAGUAACAAAGUAACCGCAGGCUGAGAGGCUUACAGCCAACAAACAUUUAUUCCUCACUUCAGGAGGCUGAAGAUCCCCAUGUGACAGAUGCUGUGUCUGGUAGGGACUCACUCCACCAGAGUGAGAUGGUGCCCUCUCACUAUGUCCUCACAUGUUGGAAUGGGCCGGGGGUUCUCUGGGGUCCCUUUUAUAAGGACACUGGUCCCAUCCAUAAGGCUCCACCCUCAGACCCUCAUCACCUCCCAGAGGCCCUACCUCCUAACCCCUCACCUCGGAUGUGAGGGCUUCAUCAUGUGCAUUUUGGGGGGACAGACAUUUGGUCCUUCAGCGUUAGCUUUCACAGCCCAAACUCCAGAGGAAUGGCUUGUGUCUCCUGAGCACUUACCAAGUCCCCAGGUCUUUACUGUCUGUGGUUUGUCCACCUCCCUGGCUGUGCUGCUGCCCUCACCCUUCUGUGUCCUGAGCCAGAGGUCGGGCUCAGUACCUGCCAUCUGCUCAGUGCUGCUGCCCAUACCUGCCCCCUUCAAGUGGGUCAGAUGCUCAGAUGGUCUCCACUGAACUUCUGAGAUGUGAGCUGUCCUUUUCUUUGAACGGGGAAGGACUCCCUGAGCCCUGUUCUCUGUGUUCUCACCUUUGAGCAGGUUGGACUGUUCCCAGGGUCUGUUUGGACCAAAGAGAGAUUGGCCCGGACUUCAGAGGACAAGCGCAGACAUGAAGAAGGGGGUCUCCCCUGUAUUGGGGCAUGGCAGGCCCUCUGCUGGGGUCACCACACCUUUGUAGACAUGCAGCUGUGCAUGGGGCCUGGGUGGAGCCACCAACACUCACUCAGGGUAUUCCAGCCUCUAUGGGGUCUGCUGGGAGAAGCCCCCUGCCCCUUCACCUGGACGGCAGCCUCAGACCUCAGUUGCUCUGUGAUUAAACUGAGGAAGGGCCAGCACUGGGGUGGAGGACAGGGAUACCCAAAGCCCCCAGGGCAAGGGUAGCCUCCAUCUAGAAACCUGUCCCAGCUUCUGCUGAUGUAGCCAAUGCCUGUGGACAACUUGUCGUGGCCUGUGACCCUGUGGACCUCCACAGCAGCCUUUCCCACCCCAUCUACCUCCUGGCCCCAGGAUGUGGUCUGCUACAUCUGAGGUGGGAUUGAUGGGUGUCUGUCCCUGUCACAGCCCCAAUGGGCCCCCACGUUCUUUUCAGUGCCCCCUGCUGCCUGUCCAUGGGUGCACAGCCACCUUUGCUCAGGCACAGGAGGAGCAAAAGGGCAGCUGGAAGACCAGGCAGCUGCUCCCCUAGCCUCAGCUUCCUUCUCCCCUGACCCUAUCCUGUGAGAUCCCAUCACCACAUGGGGUAUGUGAGGGCCUAGGGGCAGCAGCUGCUGGGGAGCUGACAGCUAAGGGUCCCUGUGACGUGGGAGGGGCUGUGCAUCACCCCAUUGUACCUGGGACUGUCCAACUGUGGGUGCCAUCCAGGUCCAUUUUCCUUAGUGGGCAGGAACCAGUGUGGUGGGUGCCAAGGGUCUAUUACCAGGACCUUGUGGGGGGAGCCCUGGGUGGAGCCCGACUGCACUGGGCCCAUAGCUCCUGCAUGUCCUGCAGUCUUGGCUGCUGUGUAUCUGUCUUCACAUCACUGUGGGGAAGGGCGGCAUUGUCACCCUAGGAGGACAGGUGUCCCUGGCCCACGGAGGGGCUGUCUUAAAGGAACAGAGGACCUCCCAUGGUUGGGCUGUGGUGUACCAGGUGCAGGGGUGGGGACAGCUGCCCUUGUGGGCAGGACUCAGGCACUUGAUUCUUGGGAUGUGGGGUACAGAGAGACUCAUAAGGCUCUAGCUGAUGUCUGGUUCAGCGUGCAGGAUCCCCCAUUCCCUGCAGGUCUCCACUGUCGCCCUGUCCUGUGGGGUCUGAAUAGGCUGACCCACCUGCAAGAGGCUGGACUUGAACGUCAAGGGCACCGAGUCCGCACACAGGUUCCCCCCCACUGCAGGACAAGGAUACCUGCCAGGGCUCACCCAGAAGGGCAGAUUCCGCACACAGGUUCCCUCCCACUGCAGGACGAAGACACCUGCCAGGGCUCACCCAGAGGGGCAGAUUCCGCACAAAGGUUCCCCCCCACCACUGCAGGACGAGGACACCUGCCAGGGCUCACCCAGAGGGGCAGAUUUCCUGGGAUGGACGGGGACACUGGAGAGUGGGCGUGGUGGCCACAUCUGUGCCAGGCUGAGAGGGGAAGACCCUUGCACGAACCCCACCCACUCCAGACCUGAACUGCCAGCCCAGCUGUGGCUAAGGAGUCACAACCUUCUGGUGGCCACAAUCCCCUGACAGAGGCUGAUCCUGCAGAUGUCCUCCCUUGCCAGAACACUGCUGCUGGCUAUGAAGGUCCCCCAAAACAUCUCCUGGGUCGAAUGGCAGACUCCUCAAAGGACAGAAAUGCUCAGGGGCACUGCCACCUGUCCAAACCCAACCACACAGGACAACAGGUCUCCCACCUGUCACCUGGGGGUACUGCAUACCUUGGUUAUGACAGGCUCUACCUGCCCCUGCAGCAUAAGCUGCCAGUCUGGGAGACAGGAGUGCCUGCAUCCUGUCACCCGAGGUCACAGUUAAGGUGUCCCAGGCUGCUGCAACGUUGCCACUGGCAUGUAAUGUCUAGGCAGGGCACAUUCCCCCCCCACCCCCCGGCAGCAAUACAGCCUGGAAAUCUUGGUGUGUGGCUGAGAAGGGACCUGGGAGUCUGGCCAGGGGCCAGGUGAGGUGUCAGGGAGCCCCCACCCCUACUCAAAUGCAGAUUCAGGGAAGGUGGGGGGAUGCAGUGUACGGGGUACAGACCCAGUGGAGAGAUGUGGGUUGGUGUGGCCCAGUUUCCCUGGGGGCCCAGGAAGUGGGAGUAGGCUGGGGCCUACACGUUGAGCUGGGGCUCUGGCAGGGCUCAGGGAGGGGUCUGUUGCAGAUGAGGCCCAGUCAGUGAUGGGGCACCAAGGCCCACACCUCCAGCCGUCGUCCCCAUGACCUGCAAGCAGCAUCCCUGGGGCUCACAGGGACUCCCAUACAUAGCAGUCACUUAGGGUUCCGGGCACCCCAUCUCCCACCUCCCACCUGUGAUUCUUCCAUGUCAUGGCUAUGCUGUCCCCUCCAGGGCUCCAGCUCCCACUUUGUCUCCCACUCUGUGGGCACCUCCCCUCAAAUCAUGGGGAGCCCUGACCACGCACAGCAGCUGUAAGGGAGCUUAGCGGAACCUGCUGGGUCACUCGUGGAUGGCAGAAUACACUGGGACCUGUCACCUUGUCCUGCAGCCACCUGGAAAUGAGAAUGUAUCAAGCUCACCUUGGGACCCAGGCCCCAGACCUGCCCUGGUCACCUGGUGCCACGGACAGUCCUGGGAACACCCAGAAGCAUCCCUGCCCACAUGUGACUGAUGCCUGAGACCUGCCAUGCCUGCCAUCUUCCUGGAGGGUGGUGGGGUACCUGG